UGCCUAUACAUGCAGUCGAACGCUUUGUGGUUCAACUGAUUUGAAGAGCUUGCUCAGAUAUGACGAUGGACAUUGCAAAGAGUGGCGAACGGGUGAGUAACACGUGGGAAACCUACCUCUUAGCAGGGGAUAACAUUUGGAAACAGAUGCUAAUACCGUAUAACAAUAGCAACCGCAUGGUUGCUACUUAAAAGAUGGUUCUGCUAUCACUAAGAGAUGGUCCCGCGGUGCAUUAGUUAGUUGGUGAGGUAAUGGCUCACCAAGACGAUGAUGCAUAGCCGAGUUGAGAGACUGAUCGGCCACAAUGGGACUGAGACACGGCCCAUACUCCUACGGGAGGCAGCAGUAGGGAAUCUUCCACAAUGGGCGAAAGCCUGAUGGAGCAACGCCGCGUGUGUGAUGAAGGGUUUCGGCUCGUAAAACACUGUUGUAAGAGAAGAAUGACAUUGAGAGUAACUGUUCAAUGUGUGACGGUAUCUUACCAGAAAGGAACGGCUAAAUACGUGCCAUCAGCCGCGGUAAUACUUAUGUUCCAAGCGUUAU
rnacentral:rRNA from 1 species